ACCGAUUUGCACAGAGCUGCAAAUAGGGUUUUCCAUGUAUUGUUGUUCCUAGCUCCAAAAAAGAGUAGAGUUCUUCCUGGCCACUCGACCGUGGAUGGCACUGGGCCGCUGACGCAUCCAUGGGUCGCUGCUUGAUGUGAGACGGGAUUUCCUCAAAAAAAAUAUUGAGAGGGGAUCUUCGGAUUGAUCGCGUCGCUACAGCUUACAGGAAUCAUGCCGGUGGCGGUGGGGGACAAGCCGACUCGGUGACUCGGCGACAGUUCCUCUCCUCUCGCCGGAACAAAAUCAAUCGCGUCCAUACUCGAGUGUGCCGGCUACAGGCGACACGACGAUAGCUCGUGAAUUCCUCUCGCAAAAAGAGGUAGUCUGUCGAUGGCUAAUCCUCCUAUCAUAUUUAUUUACUUCAGAUCCCACUUCUAAUUUCUAUUUUACUUUUGGUACGCAAGCACAUUCCACUCCCACACGGUAGUACAAGGAGUCAAGGUAGUGCUGCGCGAGCUCGCUAGGAAGCCCACGGAGCUGGCGUGGUUCGUCGGGAUUCAGGAGGAUACAUCGUUUGUUAGACCUGCAGAAAAAAAAAUCAUCACAUCCCGUAGCCUAUGAGUAUUAUUUGAUUUAUGACCCAUAUUAACAAUUCUCAACAUAAAGAAUUAUGAUGUCGGCCUUGCCAUCCUUGUAAAAUGGCUAAAAAAAGUUUGCAUUGUUUGGCUUGGGACGUUACUAUUUUAUUCUCACCGUCACUAUCGUAGGUACUCCAUUCAGCUAAGAUAUGUACUGCUUAAUGAGACAUAUCUUAAUUUAAUAGAAAAGUGGUCUUAAAAAUGUCAUAUUUUUUGGGUUCAAAAAAUGCCAUUCAUGAAAAGAGUUGGUGUGCAUUGCAAUAGGGCAAACAUCUCACUUUCCCAUAAUUAUUCUCUUUAGAGGUUCAUGUUGUGUGGAAUUGCAGAUUAAGCCAUCUUAUGUUCCUUGUCAUAUAUGUAUACUGAAUGAUGG
rnacentral:lncRNA from 1 species